GACGAACGCUGGCGGCGUGCUUAACACAUGCAAGUCGAACGGAAGGGCCCCAGCUUGCUGGGGUACUCGAGUGGCGAAUGGGUGAGUAACACGUGGGUGAUCUGCCCUGCACUCUGGGAUAAGCCUGGGAAACUGGGUCUAAUACCGGAUAGGACCGUGCUUUAGUGUGUGCGGUGGAAAGUUUUUCGGUGCAGGAUGAGCCCGCGGCCUAUCAGCUUGUUGGUGGGGUAAUGGCCUACCAAGGCGGCGACGGGUAGCCGGCCUGAGAGGGUGUACGGCCACAUUGGGACUGAGACACGGCCCAGACUCCUACGGGAGGCAGCAGUGGGGAAUAUUGCACAAUGGGCGCAAGCCUGAUGCAGCGACGCCGCGUGGGGGAUGACGGCCUUCGGGUUGUAAACCCCUUUCGGCAGGGACGAAGCUUUUGUGACGGUACCUGCAUAAGAAGCACCGGCUAACUACGUG
rnacentral:rRNA from 1 species